rnacentral:rRNA from 1 species
UACGAAGGGUGCAAGCGUUACUCGGAAUUACUGGGCGUAAAGGGUGCGUAGGUGGUCGUUUAAGUCCGUUGUGAAAUCCCUGGGCUCAACCUGGGAAUGGCAGUGGAUACUGGACGGCUAGAAUGCGGUAGAGGGUAGUGGAAUUCCCGGUGUAGCAGUGAAAUGCGUAGAGAUCGGGAGGAACACCAGUGGCGAAGGCGGCUCUCUGGACCGUAACUGACGCUGAGGCGCGAAAGCGUGGGGAGCAAACAGG